rnacentral:lncRNA from 1 species
CUCUUUUCCUUGCUGUCCCUGGGGCUGGAGGAGCACGGGCCUCCCCGGGAGUGGGCUUCAGCCUCCCUAGACUCCUGUCUCCUUCCAAGGGCUAGGCCUGGGGGACCAGAAGCAAGAGUCCCUAGAGCGUCCAAGAUUUUUGGUUUCAAACCAAUUUCCUGCUGACCAGAAUGAAAUGGAGCCACAUUCCAGCACGAUGCACCUGCUGACCUCCUGCAAGUCAGGGACCUUCUCUGCCCCUCUUUUGCUCUGCUGCAGGAGGGAGAAGCUGGGAAUGUGUUCCUCUGGGGUCCCAUCACCUCCAGCCAGCCACUGUCCCUGUCUCCCCAAAACCUCCUCGUUGUCCCUCCUCUGUCCUCCUCCUCCUCCAUCUGCCUUCGCCCUGCUCUCCUCUUUUUCGCCUGAGGUUCGUGCUGCCUCCUCACCUCUUGUCCUGUUUCUCCCUUCUCUCUGCUCCCUCCUUUGAUCUUGCUAUUUUGCUUCUCUUUCCCUUCCUCUCUUCUCCUCCCUCCCCUUCCUCCCUGCUCCCUGCCUCAGCUUCUCAGUCUCUCUCCGUUCUUCCUCUAGCUUCCUUCCCUCCCCAGAAGACCCAGCCCUUCCUAGAGCCCCAGAAGCCAGGGUUCAUGCCCCAGCUCUCUACCCACACAUGCUGUGCAACCCUGGGCCAGUCACUGGUCUCUUGGGCCUCAGUUCAACAGAUGGCUGUCUUGGUGAUGUGAGAUCAUAGGGUGGAAGCACCCAGAAUGGUGCCAGGCACUCAAAAAUUUUUUUCUUUUCCUUUUUAAGGAACUACUAACCGUGAGGUUAUGGAUUACCAAACCGUUCCUGUUCUUGGAAUCUGGGUCCUACUAUUCCCAAGAAUUUGAAUUACCACGGGUCCCUGGGGAUGUAAGGGGAUGAGGCUUCUGAUGUACUUUGGGAGGGGGAGGAGUGGAAAGAGGAGUUGGGAGGACACUCUAGCAUUGCCCAGAGGGCAGAGGACAUUCUGCCUAUUUCCAGAGGUUAUUGACCCUGGAUCUCUUUUAUGGAGUUCCUCACCCAGGCCCCUUGAGCUUGGCCAUACUUGAGGCAAUGGGAUAUCUUCCUUCUCCUGGAGCCCCUUGAAUCUUAGGCCUCGGGAACACACAGUCUACUGUGUUUCUUGGCUGCACCCACGGAGGACAGCCCCCAUACUCCUUGCUUACAACCAGCAAAGACUCCACAGCCAUCCCUGCACACGACUCAGGCUCCUUGGCUUGGCACUCAAGGCUCUUUGCUUUCCUGUCCUGCUUUGCUUCCAGCUGCAAAGAUGGUGGCUUCCUGUUUUCCUCUUCGUUUCCUUUGCUUAAGUUGAUUCUCAGCCAGACAUGCUUUCCCCCUGCACGCUUCCCUAAGCCAUCCUAUCUGGGACCCUGACCCAAUCAAUGGUUCCCUAAUGCACCUUUGAGACCAAGUGUACCUGGCACCUCCUCUCUUGCCCCACUAUCUGCUCACAUGACCCUCUGCAGGCCUGUAAGCUGCUGGAGGCUCCGAGUAUGCCUCAUUCAUGUCUAUCCCCCUUACUAGGCCCAGACCAUGGAAGACACUCAAUAAAAAGUAAGUGAUUAAAUGACAACCUCUACGGAAAAGAGUAUGGAGAUUUCUCAAAGAACUAAAAACAGAACUACCUUUUGGCCAGAUGCAGUGGCUCACACCUAUAAUCCCAACAUUUGGGAAGGCUGAGGCAGGUGGAUUGCUUGAGCCCAGGAGUUCAAGAUCAGCCUGGGCAACAUGGUGAAACCCUAUCUCUACAAAAAAUACAGAAAAUUAGAUGAGACUACAGGUGGCACACAUCCAUAGUACCAGCUACUCCAGAGGCUGAGGCGGGAGGAUCGCUUGAGCCCAGGAGGUCCAGGCUACAGUGGGCCAAGAUCACGCCAUUGCACUCCAGCCUCAGUGAUAAAGUGGCAUUCUGUCUCAAAAGAAAAAGAACUGGCCAAGCAUGGUGGCUCACGUCUGUAAUCCCAGCACUUUGGGAGGCCGAGGCAGGUGGAUCACAUGAGAUCAGGAGUUUGAGACUAGCCUGGCCAACAAUGAUGAAACCCCAUCUCUACUAAAAAUACAAUAAUUAGCUGGGCGUGGUGGCGGGCGCCUGUAAUCCCAGCUACUCAGGAGGCUGAGGCAGGAGAAUCAUUUGAACCCGGGAGGCAAAGUGAGCCAAGAUUGUGCCACUGCACUCCAGCCUGGGCAACAAGAGCGAAACUCAGUCUCAAAAGAAAAAGAAAAAGAGAGAAAAGAAGAAAGGAAAAGAAAUAUCAUUUGAUCCAGCAAUCUCACUGAGUAUCUAACCAAAGGAAAAUAAAUCACUAUACCAAAAAGAUACUGCAUUUUUAUGUUUAUCACAGCACUAUUCAUAAUAGCAAAGACACAGAAUCAACCUAAGUGUCCAUCAACGGAUGAGUGAAUAAAUAAAAUGUUAUAUUUUUAUAUAUAUAUAUAUAUAUAAUGAAAUACUAUUCAGCCAUAAAAAAGAAUGAAAUUAUGUCUUUGCAGCAACAUGGAUGGAAUUGGAGGCCAUUAUCAUAAGCGAAACAAUGCAGAAACAGAAAGUCAAAUACUGCCUGUUCUCAUGUAUAAGUAGGAGCUAAAUAAUGUGUACACAUGGACAUAGAAUGUGGAAUGACAGACACUGGAGACUUGCAAGGGUGGGAGAGUGGGGAGGCAUGGUGAGGGAUGAGAAAUUACUUAAAGGGCACAAUGUACACUAUUCUGGUGAUGGAUAAACUGAAAGCCUAGACUUCUCCAUUAUGCAAUAUAUCCAUGGAACAAAACUGCAUUUGUACCCCUUACAUUUAUACAAAAAAGUGAUUAAAUGAAUGAAUGAAUAAAUAAGCAUAUAAACAAACCAAAGCAAGACAAUAACACACACGAGUGAAUGAAUGAACACAUCAAGCAGGGCCUAGAUCUUGUGGAGUGGAUAACCUUACACCCCACUGCACCCAGUCAGCUGGGGCUUGGCCUUCUUGAUGGGGAAGUGGGAACAAGGAUGGAACUGAUGCCAAGCCAACCUGUCCCUCCCCUCCUUUUUGGGAGAGGCCUUGGUCAGGUUCCUAGGGAGCCCUGAGGACCUGUGGCCUGGAGCCUUUGGAGAGUCCCAAGUGCAGAUACAAAGUCAGUGAAGGUGGAAGUCAAGUAGAUCUAAUGGUGAGCCCAGAGCUGUGAAAUUCUGGUGUUUGCUGCUAAUGAAAAAACACUUGUGGCCUAGGAAUCCACUGGCAAGAAGGCAGGCCUGUCUUAGUGGAGUGGGAAUUUAAAGCAAGGGGUUAGAUUAUACAGGGGAGGACACUGAAUGUUCAAAAUUCCUUCCCAGCAGAGGGGACUCACCAGAGAUCACUGGGCCAGAAAAACAACAACAACAACAACAACAACAAAACAAAAAUGCCUCUACUCAUCCCUCCACCCCCCAGAAAAGAUCAGGAACUCUCUGAAGGCAGGGGUCUUGUAUAAUACUUUUUUGUUUUCCCAGCGCUCAGCUUAGAGCCUGGAACUCAACAUUGGGAAGAUGCAUGGAUGGACAGAUAAGUGGAUAGACAGAUAGAUGAAUGAGUGGAUGGAUGGAUAGAUGGAUGGGUAGAUGAGUGGAUUGGUGGAUGGGUGGAUUAGUGAAUCGGUAGAUGUGUGGAUGAGUGGAUGGAUGGAUGGAUGAAUGGAUGGAUGGAUAGAUAAGUGGAUGAGUGGAUUGGUGGAUGGAUGAAUGGAUGGAUGGAUAGAUAAGUGGAUGGGUGGAUUUGUGGAUGGCUGGAUGAAUGAGUGGAUGGAUGGAUAGGUGGAUGAGUGGAUGGAUGAAUGGGUAGAUAGCUGGAUUGGUGGACAGGUGGAUGAGUAAAUGGGUAGAUGGGUAGAUGGGUGGAUAGGUGGAUGAAUGGAUGGAUGGAUGAAUGGAUGGCUGGAUGGAUGAGUGAUACCAAAAAGAUACUGCAUUUGUAUGUUUAUCACAGCACUAUUCAUAAUAGCAAAGAUACAGAAUCAACAUAAGUGUCCAUCAACGGGUGAGUGAAUAAAUAACAUGUUAUAUUGUAUUUAUAUAUAUAUAUAAUGAAAUACUAUUCAGCCAUAAAAAAGAAUGAAAUUAUGUCUUUGCAGCAACAUGGAUGGAAUUGGAGGACAUUAUCAUAUGCGAAACAACGCAGAAACAGAAAGUCAAAUACUGCCUGUUCUCAUGGGGCUCCUGGAAACCGAAGCUGAUAGGUGAAUGGAUGGAUAGGUGGAUGAAUAGAUGGGUGGAAUGGUAGGUGGGUGGAUUGGUAGAUGGGUGGAUGAGUGGACUGGUGGAUGGAUGGA